rnacentral:rRNA from 1 species
GAUUACCCGCUGAACUUAAGCAUAUCAAUAAGCGGAGGAA